rnacentral:rRNA from 1 species
GAUGAACGCUAGCGGCAGGCUUAACACAUGCAAGUCGAGGGGUAACAUUGUAGCUUGCUACAGAUGACGACCGGCGCACGGGUGCGUAACGCGUAUACAAUCUACCUUUUGCUACGGGAUAGCCCAGAGAAAUUUGGAUUAAUACCGUAUAGUAUGGCGACUUCGCAUGGAGUUGUUAUUAAAGAUUACGGCAGAAGAUGAGUAUGCGUCCUAUUAGCUAGAUGGAGUGGUAACGGCACCCCCAUGGCAACGAUAGGUAGGGGCCCUGAGAGGGGGAUCCCCCACACUGGUACUGAGACACGGACCAG